UAUUUUCGUCCUAAAAAAAAGAAAGUAAAAACCUUUUCCUCUCUCUCUCUCCUCUCCUCCUCACGCCGCGAACGCGGAUGCGGCCACCACCUGGCCCUGCGCCGGCGCGGCGGCGGCGGCGGCGGCGGAGUCCUCCCCUCCUCUCCCUCUUCCCGCUGUGGGGUUCCUGCAAUCUGCAUUUGGUCAGCAAUGGCGGUUCUAGCCGCUAGUGCAAUUGAGGGUUGUGAACCCUCUUCAAAGCUUUCUGACGAUUCUUUCUUUGAAGGAGGGGAUGCAAUAUUGACAUCUGAGGAUAUAGUUUGAAGAGUGGUUGGAGGUAACAGACCCCUUCAUAUGCGUGAUAUUAGGGUAACAGUUGAGAGUGACGGUGCCUUUGUCAUAAACUUCAAAGGAGUAAGGGGAAGUCCCAUGGUUUGUGCCAUUUGUAUUCGAAAAACGGUAGCAAUAGCAGAACAAGUCCUUGAUAGACAAGCUGAUCAACUGAGAAGUGUUUCCCAAAAGUACGAAUAUGCCAAUAAAUUAUGGGCAGCUGCCAUAUCUAACUUGGAAAAUAAAAUCAAGGUCAUGAAACAAGAGCAAACAUUGCUAUCUCUUGAAGCAAGAUGGCCAUGCAAACGCUGUUCCUGAACCGAGUAAGAUGUUGUGCAGUGUGAAGAUCUUAAACUGAAGUACUAUGAAGAGAUGGCCAAGAGAAAGAAACUUCAUAAUAUUGUCGAGGAGACCAAAGGUGCAGGACUGCAGGGAGCUGUUGUACCGUCCAACUCCACAAAUAUGGGCUGCUUGCAUGGUCCUCCUGUGCUGGCAAGGGCAUCGGCUGGUACUGCAGGCUUGGCCGCUGCAAGGGGUGCUGGCGCCGUCGGCAGGGCCCAGCUGUUCCUGCUCCCAAGGGACGACCAUGACUGUUGCAGCCAUAGUGGUGGCCACGCUUUGCAAGGCAGUGAAUGUGAAUUAACGACAUGGUCAGCCACAAAGCAGGUCUGCUUGGGGAUUGCCAGAUUAGCAAGGUCAAUUUCAUUGCAUUGGAAAUUGUUCUGGCUGCCACACCAUUAAGUGCGGUGAGACUGAAUCUUGGAGAUAAAUUACCGAAGAACUGAACUCUAAUUGUGCAGGUCCGUCACCUGGUGCACUUCGUCAUUGGAUCUUCCUCCUCAACUCCGUCAUGUGCAGAUCCAGCGCACGGUGCGCCACCGUUGUGAAUGUCAAACCGGUUCAGCUUGCGAUCAUCCAUCGGCUUCCUCGACGUCGUCCUUGAAAGCGACCCUGUGCAGGUUUGCCGAAUGCACUCCCGGAAAACGUUGAUUCGCUGAAAACUUCAGCAAAGGAGCACUUGAAGAAUAAGUGAUCGCUGUCUUCGUCUUGAUGCAAGCAUAUUUCGUAUUUUACCGUUUGCACCAUGUUCUUCACAAGCAAAUUUGUCAUUGUUGGUAGUCGAUUUUUGAAGAUAAGCCAGGCACAAGUUGUUGAACUCAGAGGGGGGCUGAAUUCUUCUACACAAAUUCCCAGAUUGGACAAGGGGCAGAAGCAGAAGUAUUGAUCUGAUCAUAUAGAGCCUUCCAUGUGAGAGCUUGAGUGCAACCAGCAGCCGGACUGUAUUGUCGUAUAUCUUCUUUGUCAUCGAGGUGCACUGCAUUGGUGACAUCAGGUCAUGGGAGGUGAGAAACAAGUUUUGGCGUGUGACACUACGCUGGUCAUAGGAAAUAAAACACAAUAUGAGAAGAUCAUACAACGGCCUGCUUUUCCAGUUUGCAGAAACUGUGAUGGUUUUAGGAUUUCUUGUUCUUUUGUGAAGUUUAAGGGUUGAGGAGACAGCAAGGAAGAGUGGCGAGAUGAGACUGUGUACUAGAGAUGCCUACUUUGUUGAUAUCUUGAGACAGUGCAGGUUUUGGCACUUGACAAACACUUUAUUGACCCACGUUGUUUAUUAAAUCCCACACAAGAAGUAAUGAGAGGGCAUUAUACCAUUAACAGAUGCUGUGCCCAUUAUUCCAAGCGCGUCCGCCCACGCUGAAAUCGGCCAGGCCGAUGCUGUUCAGUGCUCACUAGUAGAGGCAAGCGGCUGACCACGAACGCCAGGGACGAUGCGAAUGCAACCUGCAUCGUCUCAACUGCUCACCAGGAACAAGAACUUAAUUACCGGUGGCCAUGGUGACGUGUUAUCAUGAGCAUGGCGAGCCCAGACACGAGCAUCGCCAUGGCAGCCUAUGGCGAUCGAGCUCCGCUGCUCGAAAGCGCCGGCCUGGGCAUUCUCGAGGGCGGCGGCCGCAGGCGAGUGUCGGCCUCGAGGGUGUUGGCAUGGGCAAGAUUGAGGGCUGCUGGGGCGGAUGGGCUCUAGGACGGCGGCCGAAGUCUAGGAUGAGCGCAAGAUGGGAGAACGGAAAGGCUAAAGAAUAGAAGGACAUUAUCGAUGAAUUUCAGACCAGACCAAGUGAACUAAUUCCCCUCAGCCGCGGCGAAGCUAAUCGUGCUACUCGUCUCCGUCUCGCGCCCGACCGGGCCCACCGGCACCCGUUGUCAAACGUUGUCAAAUUUAUGCAGGCUCUUAAGUCCACCAUUCUCUUUUGUGUAGUUAUACAAAGUCACAAACCUGUAUUAUCGACGAAAAUCUCGUUUCUUGUAGAUUCAGAUGCAUGGCCUCUCUGUUUACUUUAAACAUCAUUCAAGCGGACAACAGGUGGAUGUUAAUUUGCCUAAAACCGACAUUUUUCAUCCUCACUAAUAGCUGAUCCAUUUUGCUGUGCUACUUAUUUACUGUUCUCUGCAAUGACUGUUUGGAGAUGCUGCUCCACAAAAUUCAGUGAUGAAUAGAUGUGUCUUGUGUAUUUAUCAUA